UCCGAGUUGACCCCGGCAGUCUCCCAUGAGUCCCCGGCAUAACCCGCUGGCAACAUAGGAUAAGGGUUGCGCUCGUUGCGGGACUUAACCCAACAUCUCACGACACGAGCUGACGACAGCCAUGCACCACCUGCACACAGGCCACAAGGGAACCGACAUCUCUGCCGGAAUCCUGUGCAUGUCAAACCCAGGUAAGGUUCUUCGCGUUGCAUCGAAUUAAUCCACAUGCUCCGCCGCUUGUGCGGGCCCCCGUCUAUUCCUUUGAGUUUUAGCCUUGCGGCCGUACUCCCCAGGUGGGAUGCUUAACGCGUUAGCUUAGGCACUGCCCCAAAGAGCGGGGCAACACCGAGCAUCCAUCGUUUACAGCAUGGACUAC
rnacentral:misc_RNA from 1 species